rnacentral:lncRNA from 1 species
AGCUGCAGCCGCCAUGAGGCCUCCCCUCAGCUCCUCUGCUCUGGGCUGAGGAAACCCAGGGGCCUCAGCUGCUCUUCGUAAGUCUUGCCCUCCACGCCCUUUGUAGGCCUCCUUUGGGCACUCUGUAGUAGUUUUAUGUCCGUUUCAUACUGUGACUCCCCACACUAACAGCAACUGAGAAAACACUAACAUUUAGCAAGAUGAUUGCUAGUGUUUCUAUUCUCCGCCUCCACUGUCAGCAUUGAGCCCGAGCCUUUGGUUUCUAGGAAACAUCAUGUAAUUUCCACCUGCAACAGACAUUACUUCUCAGAUCAAGCAGGAUUUCACAUCAAGUAUUAGCUAAAGCUUAGGAAAACUAAGGCUCCAAAACCACUCCUUCUAAAUGGGGUGGACUUCCUAAGCGGAGUGGGUGGCUUAGCAAAUGCUGCCAGGUUUAUGUUUGUAAAUGCUCUUCCCCAUGCUCUUCCUCCAAUCGGGAUUUUUGCAAAGAGCUCAUCUGAGGAAGAGGGAAACACCCCCAGAACUUCAAAAAGGGUACACAGGCAUCCUGCAGGUAAAAAUAAGACAUAAUCAGCAUUCCCGUCUAUCCGAAGUUCCAAAUAGCUAAACAAUCCAAGCAAGUAAUUGGAUUUAUUUACUUUUCCUUCUAGAAACCUACUCUUUUGUCCUGACCAGAUUUGCUUUUUAACAACACUGGCAAUCUCUGUCAGUACGUGAAAUUUUUCCCUAGGUUAAAUCAUUGAGUGUGGGAGGGACACUCAACACUCACUGAAUCUUCAUUCUAAUUUUACUAUCAGACAUAAACCUCAUUAAAUCUCAGCCUCAGAACUGUUUGUAAAGGAAAUGGCUUGUAAACCUUAACGAGGCAAACUGUGGGGGCUCAGUGCUAUCGUCAUUCCAAAAACUUGUAUUUUUUUCAAAGGAAGUUUUGUCUGCAUGAAGACAGGUAGGAUCUGCUCUGGAUAUUUUAAUUUCCUGCCUUGUUAAUUUCCAGCAGUAAAUUUUGAUGAGAUGGUGAUAAAUAGAUACAAUAUAAGGCUAUUUGCUUUAAGAUGGCAAUCUUUAUUUCUUUGUUUUUAUUGCAAAAUUUCUAAAUACCAACACUUAACUCCAGUGACAUUAACUGGUAUCUAUUCUAGAAAAAAGGUUUGAGGCUGUCCUCUUACGGAAGCCAUGUAAACAGUUUCUUUCUGUUCAACUGAAAGCAU